rnacentral:rRNA from 1 species
UACGAAGGGGGCUAGCGUUGCUCGGAAUCACUGGGCGUAAAGCGCACGUAGGCGGACUCUUAAGUCGGUGGUGAAAUCCUGGAGCUCAACUCCAGAACUGCCUUCGAUACUGGGAGUCUCGAGUCCGGGAGAGGUGAGUGGAACUGCGAGUGUAGAGGUGAAAUUCGUAGAUAUUCGGAGGAACACCAGUGGCGAAGGCGACUGCCUGGACGAACAUUGACGCUGAGGUGCGAAAGCGUGGGGAGCAAACAGG